GACGAACGCUGGCGGCGUGCUUAACACAUGCAAGUCGAACGGAAAGGCCCCUUUGGGGGUACUCGAGUGGCGAACGGGUGAGUAACACGUGAGUAACCUGCCCUUGACUUCGGGAUAACUUCAGGAUACUGGGGCUAAUACCGGAUAGGAAUCCUUGCUGCAUGGUGGGGGUUGGAAAGCUUCGGCGGUUUUGGAUGGACUCGCGGCUUAUCAGCUUGUUGGUGGGGUAGUGGCUUACCAAGGCUUUGACGGGUAGCCGGCCUGAGAGGGCGACCGGCCACAUUGGGACUGAGAUACGGCCCAGACUCCUACGGGAGGCAGCAGUGGGGAAUAUUGCACAAUGGGCGGAAGCCUGAUGCAGCAACGCCGCGUGCGGGAUGACGGCCUUCGGGUUGUAAACCGCUUUCAGCAGGGGCGAAGCUUGUGGUGACGGUACCUGCAGAAGAAGCACCGGCUAACUACGUG
rnacentral:rRNA from 1 species